rnacentral:misc_RNA from 3 species
CACCACUCAAGCCUCGCUUGGUCUUGGGCGCCGCGGUUCCGCCGCGCGCCCCAAUGUCUCCGGCUGAGCCGUCCGUCUCUAAGCGUUGUGAUAAACUGUUCGCUUGCGAGGCCGGGCCGGCUUGUUCGCCGUUAAACCCCCCAUUUUUUCA